UUAAAGUCUAACCUGCCCACUGAAAUUUUAAAUGGCCGCAGUAUUCUAACUGUGCAAAGGUAGCAUAAUCAUUAGUCUUUUAAUUGAAGGCUGGAAUGAAUGGUUGGACGAAAUAUUAACUGUUUCAUUUAGAUUUUUUAUAGAAUUUUAUUUUUUAGUCAAAAAGCUAAAAUUUAUUUAAAAGACGAGAAGACCCUAUAAAUCUUUAUAUUUUGUUAAUUUUAAUUAUAAAGAUUAUUUUUGUUAUAAUUAAUAAAAAUAUUUUAUUGGGGUGAUAUUAAAAUUUAAAAAACUUUUAAUUUUUUAAACCAUUAAUAUAUGAAUAAUUGAUCCAUUAAUAAUGAUUAAAAAUUUAAGUUACUUUAGGGAUAACAGCGUAAUUUUUUUGGAGAGUUCAUAUCGAUAAAAAAGAUUGCGACCUCGAUGUUGGAUUAAGAUAUAAUUUUGGGUGUAGCCGUUCAAAUUUUAAGUCUGUUCGACUUUUAAAUUCUUACAUGAUCUGAGUUCAAACCGGCGUAAGCCAGGUUGGUUUCUAUCUUUAAAAAAUUGUAAUAUUUUAGUACGAAAGGACCAAAUAUUAAAAUAAUUAUAUUUUUAAUAAGAAUAUUAUUAAUUUAA
rnacentral:rRNA from 1 species